rnacentral:rRNA from 1 species
CCUACGUGAGGCAGCAGUGAGGAAUAUUGGUCAAUGGACGAGAGUCUGAACCAGCCAAGUAGCGUGAAGGAUGACUGCCCGAUGGGUUGUAGACUUCUUGUAUAGGGGAAUAAAAUGUACCACGUGUGGGAUUUUGUAUGUACCAUAUGAAUAAGGAUCGGCUAACUCCGGGCCAGCAGCCGCGGUAAUACGGAGGAUCCGGGCGUUAUCCGGAUUAAUUGGGGUUAAAGGGCGCGUAGGUGGAUUGUUAAGUCAGUUGUGUAAGUUGGGGGCUCAACCGUAAAAUUGCAGUUGAAACUGGCAGUCUUGCGUACAGUCGCGGUGGGCGGUCUUCGUGGUGUAGCGGU